rnacentral:rRNA from 1 species
ACGUUGGCGGCGUGGAUUAGGCAUGCAAGUCGAGCGAGAAGUUUACUUCGGUAAAUGGACAGCGGCGAAAGGGACAGUAAUGUGUAGGUACCUACCCCCAGAUCUGGGAUAGCUGCGGGAAACUGCAGGUAAUACCGGAUAAUGUCUUCGGACCAAAGGUGUGAUUCCGUCAGGGGAGGGGCCUGCAUCCUAUUAGCUUGUUGGUGAGGUAAUGGCUCACCAAGGCAACGAUGGGUAGCGGGUGUGAGAGCAUGACCCGCGUCAUUGGGACUGAGACACUGCCCAGACAUCUACGGAUGGCUGCAGUCGAGAAUCUUCGGCAAUGGGCGAAAGCCUGACCGAGCGACGCCGCGUGCGGGAUGAAGGCCCUCGGGUUGUAAACCGCUGUCGUGGGGAGGAAAUGCAAAAGGGUUAUCCC